UGGUCUCUGGGCUUGCUUUGAACAGGAUUUCCUAACCUGCUUUUCUAACUAGUUUAAAUGUAAUUCGUUUCCUGUAAUCCUAUUGCUUUUAUGCGUUUAAACCAUUAUUCUGAGAAGGGGUCCAUAGGCGUCAUCUCACUGCCAGAGGCAUCCGUGACACAGAGAAGGUGAAGAACCUCUCACUCCGAAGUAUAAGCUUGACGCUCAGAUUGCCCAUGUUGAGCCAGCUUCCCUGUUCCCCUUCUCUCCCCUUCCUGCCUCCUUUCUCCAAGCCAGGAACGAGGCCUGUGGCAGUGGUUUUGGAGGAUGUGGCCCUGUAUCUUACCCAAGAAGGGGAAUGGGGGCAGCCGCACUUCGGGCAAAGAGCCCUCCCCUCUACAGGGAUGUUGUGCGGAACUGCAGGCACCCACUGUCGCUGGGCCUGCUGUGUCCCUGAGACAAAAGAGUAUUGACAUUAAGCCAGUUAUUAACCCUACAAAUGGCCUCUAAGUGUUCAAAGGGAAGGAAGAGUCAGAUUGAUGUUUACCUUCAGUAAACAACCACCCUGAUCGGUCAGCAGCUAUCAAUAUGGAGGCAAGAUCUUCACUAGCAAGAAGUGGCCUGGAUCUGAACCUGCCAUAUCUUCAAG